rnacentral:rRNA from 1 species
CCUACGGGAGGCAGCAGUGAGGAAUAUUGGUCAAUGGGCGUAAGCCUGAACCAGCCAAGUCGCGUGAAGGAUGAAGGUUCCAUGGAUCGUAAACCUCUUUUGUCAGGGAAUAAAGUGUGGCACGUGUGCUUUUUUGUGUGUACCUUAUGAAUAAGGAUCGGCUAACUCCGUGCCAGCAGCCGCGGUAAUACGGAGGAUCCGAGCGUUAUCCGGAUUUAUUGGGUUUAAAGGGUGCGUAGGCGGGCUUUUAAGUCAGCGGUGAAAGGCCGGGGCUCAACCCCGGCAGAGCCGUUGAAACUGGGGGGCUUGAGAUGGUGUGAGGUAGGCGGAAUGCGCAGUGUAGCGGUGAAAUGCUUAGAUAUCGCGCAGAACCCCGAUUGCGAAGGCAGCAUGCCAGGCGAGGUCUGACGCUGAGGCACGAAAGCGUGGGGAUCAAACAGGAUUAGAUACCCGAGUAGUC